UACGUAGGGGCAAGCGUUGUCCGGAAUCAUUGGGCGUAAAGAGCGUGUAGGCGGCUCGAUAAGUCUGCUGUGAAAGUCCAGGGCUCAACCCUGGAAGGCCGGUGGAAACUGUCGGGCUAGAGUCCGGAAGAGGCGAGUGGAAUUCCCGGUGUAGCGGUGAAAUGCGCAGAUAUCGGGAGGAACACCAAUGGCGAAGGCAGCUCGCUGGGACGGUACUGACGCUGAGGCGCGAAAGCGUGGGGAGCGAACAGG
rnacentral:rRNA from 1 species